UGGCGAACGGGUGAGGAACACGUGAGAAAUUUGCCCCGAACUUUGGGAUAACAGUUGGAAACGACUGCUAAUACCGAAUGCCGUUAUGAAGUGGCAUCACUACAUAACGAAAGAAUUUCGGUUCGGGAGAAUCUCGCGGCCUAUCAGCUUGUUGGUGAGGUAACGGCUCACCAAGGCUACGACGGGUAGCUGGUCUGAGAGGAUGAUCAGCCACACUGGGACUGAGACACGGCCCAGACUCCUACGGGAGGCAGCAGUGGGGAAUCUUGUGCAAUGGACGAAAGUCUGACACAGCCACGCCGCGUGCGGGAAGAAGGCCUUCGGGUCGUAAACCGCUUUCAGCAGGAACGAAAAUGACGGUACCUGCAGAAGAAGGAGCGGCCAACUACGUGCCAGCAGCCGCGGUGAUACGUAGGCUCCAAGCGUUGUCCGGAUUUAUUGGGCGUAAAGAGCUCGUAGGCGGUUCAGCAAGUCGGGUGUGAAAACUCUGGGCUCAACCCAGAGCCUGCACCCGAAAC
rnacentral:rRNA from 1 species